rnacentral:rRNA from 1 species
UACAGAGGUCUCGAGCGUUAGGCGGAAUCACUGGGCUUAAAGCGUGUGUAGGCGGAUCGUUAAGUGCCUUGUGAAAUCCCACGGCUUAACCGUGGAACUGCUUGGCAUACUGGCGGUCUUGAGCAACCCAGGGGCGAGCGGAACAAAUGGUGGAGCGGUGAAAUGCGUAGAUAUCAUUUGGAACGCCAAUGGUGAAAACAGCUCGCUGGGGGUUUGCUGACGCUGAGACACGAAAGCCAGGGGAGCGAACGGG